rnacentral:rRNA from 1 species
GACGAACGCUGGCGGCGUGCUUAACACAUGCAAGUCGAACGGAAAGGCCCUGCUUUUGUGGGGUGCUCGAGUGGCGAACGGGUGAGUAACACGUGAGUAACCUGCCCUUGACUUUGGGAUAACUUCAGGAAACUGGGGCUAAUACCGGAUAGGAGCUCCUGCUGCAUGGUGGGGGUUGGAAAGUUUCGGCGGUUGGGGAUGGACUCGCGGCUUGUCAGCUUGUUGGUGGGGUAGUGGCUUACCAAGGCUUUGACGGGUAGCCGGCCUGAGAGGGUGACCGGGCACAUUGGGACUGAGAUACGGCCCAGACUCCUACGGGAGGCAGCAGUGGGGAAUAUUGCACAAUGGGCGGAAGCCUGAUGCAGCAACGCCGCGUGCGGGAUGACGGCCUUCGGGUUGUAAACCGCUUUCGCCUGUGACGAAGCGUGAGUGACGGUAAUGGGUAAAGAAGCACCGGCUAACUACGUG